rnacentral:rRNA from 1 species
GACGAACGCUGGCGGCGUGCUUAACACAUGCAAGUCGAACGGAAAGGCCCUGCUUUUGUGGGGUGCUCGAGUGGCGAACGGGUGAGUAACACGUGAGUAACCUGCCCUUGACUUUGGGAUAACUUCAGGAAACUGGGGCUAAUACCGGAUAGGAGCUCCUGCUGCAUGGUGGGGGUUGGAAAGUUUCGGCGGUUGGGGAUGGACUCGCGGCUUAUCAGCUUGUUGGUGGGGUAGUGGCUUACCAAGGCUUUGACGGGUAGCCGGCCUGAGAGGGUGACCGGCCACAUUGGGACUGAGAUACGGCCCAGACUCCUACGGGAGGCAGCAGUGGGGAAUAUUGCACAAUGGGCGGAAGCCUGAUGCAGCAACGCCGCGUGCGGGAUGACGGCCUUCGGGUUGUAAACCGCUUUCGCCUGUGACGAAGCGUGAGUGAUGGUAAUGGGUAAAGAAGCACCGGCUAACUACGU